AAAUGUGUUUAUACUUGUGAUUUAGACAAAUGGAAUAAUCUGUGAAGCAAAGACUACAACAACCUGCUAUUUAAUGGAAACAUUUGAAGAGCAAGGAGUGGAUGAAAGUUUUAUGCUGCUGGAUGACAGUGGUUCUCAACUGUGGUCCUAGAGUAUCCCCAGCAAUACACAUUUUGGAUGAUUUCCUUAUCUGACACCCUUUUCCGGCCUUGGAGUCUCUCUACUAACAAGCUGGUAAAUUGAAUCAGGAUUAGAGAGACAAAAUGUGAAGUGCUAGGGCUACUACAGAGCCAGGUUGUUUGGGAAACACUAGGGUACAGUUUAUUACUCUUGUUUGGUUUUUUUUCUCAGUUGUCUUUAUUCGUUUUAAUACAUUAUGUUUUAAUUUAAACAGUAUCCAAGUUGUUUGAUGACUGACAACGAUUUAGUAUCAAAAAAAAUGCAAGAAGUCCUCACAGCCAAGCUAAUGUGUUCAUUAGACAUACAACACCUCAACAAACUGCAUGGAUUUGAUCCUUUGGAACAAAAACUGGAAUGGUGAGUUUAAUGAUGUUCAGAAUAGUGAAGGGUUGUUUUAUUUUGGGAAAAAAUGUAUUGGCCAUGUCUAAGUGCAUGUGAAAUUUGUCCACACACACGUGGUAUAAAUUAAAGUUUUUAAAGAUGGUCAUGGAGAAACUGCCUACUGUCCUGCCAUCAUCGCCAUGCCUCACAAAUGGGAAAAUGGUGCUGAAAUGAAGCGCAGCUUAACUGACAUUCAGCCUGUAAGUAAAAGCAACACUGCAAAAUUAGCUUUGAUAAAUUACACUGCUCUGUAAACAUAUGGAUCCAUUUCUCCUUUCCUUUAGUGAUUCUGCUUGUUCAUAGGUUAGUUCACCCAAAAAUGAAAAUUCUGUCAUUAAUUUCUCAUUCACUCAUCUUUGGAACACAGAUCAAAUUCUUUUUAAAGAAAUCAGAGAAAUUUCUGUCCCUCUAUUGACAGCAUCCUUCAUAUCUCUGAAAAGUCUUUAGUUUUAUCAUAUUUAUAAAAGAUAGAUAUUCUGUACUGAGUCUUUCCACAAAAGCCAAGCUCCUGGAGGCGUGCCUGCCGUGGGCAGAACUAAAGAGUCAUGAGCGCGCAGCUUUUGCGUAGAGAUCGUCUGCAAGCUGCAACAUCAUUAUAAAUAAAAAGGGAACAAAAACUUUCGUGUCGUUUACAUUAUAUGCACUUGAGUGGCGAUUGCCAAUAAAACACAGACAUUUGAUGCAGUUUUACUCACCGCCUGCGAUCUGGGACUUGUUUACAAAGCAUUCAUCACCGAAAUCAAACAUACAUGCUUCAUACAACUCGUGUUUUGAAACUUUGGUCAUGUUUAGCAUGAGAAUGCAAAUCUUUAGCUGUGUAAAUAAGUCAGAAUUUAAUUUAAUGACUUUUUUUUUUUUUUUUUGAGGUGAACUAACCCUUUAACAGCAGUUGUAAUUCAGUGACCAUAUUUUAAUUUAGUACAGCACUGCUUCAGUGUAACUUUUACUUAAUUUAACACUGCUUAUGUUGUCACAGUGCAUGCCAACUGAACUUUAUUUAUUUUUUGAAGGUUGGCACUAAUAUGGCGCAUUACCUGAGCAGUGAGACAAGUUGGGAUCCACAUGACUUGAUGCCUUGAGGACAAAGAGAACUGCCAAGUUUUUUUUUUUUUUUUUUUUUUUAAUAACAUUAUUUUUUCAUUGUGGCACUGAACAGAAGAUCUUAUUUUAAACUAUGCAUGUAUAUUUUAAUUUUUAUUUUUUUAUUUAUUUUUUUAACAUAUAUGAAAUACUGUUCAAAGCCUUCUGCUCCCAUUUAGGAGGUUUUGUAGCAUGCAAACUUUAAUAUACAGUAGUAGUACAUUUGAAGUGGAUCAAAAAAGUUCAUCAAAGUUGUCCUAAAAACUAAGUUGUCCUAAGAAGAAGGUUUUAGGGACAACUUUGAUCCACUUCAAAUGUUGACUAGUUGAAAGUGUUGAAAGGUUUUGAUCCACUUCAAAUGUUGACUAGUGUAUUAAGAGGGGUUCCCUCAACACUUUGCUGCCUCCUUAAGAACUUUGAUCAUCAUCAUUAGGUCCAACAUAUUUGUGGUUUUAUUACUUAAGGUAUGUUUACAACACAUCAAUGCAUGCAAUCUACAGUGUUGACUUUUCAUUAAAGAUAUGUUUAUUUAUUGAAGAAUUUAAUGUUAUGAAUUUAUGUGUACUCGUAGUUUUUCAUUUAGUGUUCAUUUUGUAUUUGUGUGUUCUGUAUGUACAUUUUAUGUAUGUUUUGAGUUUACUCUACAUGGUUGUGAAGGUUUUAAAUAUAGCUUUUAAUUGUGUACUGUUUGUACAAAUUUAUAGGUUUGAAUUUAAUAUUUGUACUGUACACUUGUGUAGGUUUAAAUGUAGUGUUCAUUUUGAAUUUUUGUGUGUUCUGUAUACAUAUUUUAUUUAUGUUUUGAGUUUAUGCUGUACAUGUUUGUGUAGGUUUUGAAUGUGUAUUGUUUGUACAAAUUUGCAUAGGUUUUGAAUUGAUGUAUGUACACUUACGAUAUUUACAUUAAAUGACUCCACAAUA